rnacentral:rRNA from 1 species
UACGUAGGGUGCAAGCGUUGUCCGGAAUUAUUGGGCGUAAAGAGCUCGUAGGCGGCUUGUCGCGUCGGCUGUGAAAACCUGGGGCUCAACCCCGGGCCUGCAGCCGAUACGGGCAAGCUAGAAUUCGGUAGGGGAGACUGGAAUUCCUGGUGUAGCGGUGAGAUGCGCAGAUAUCAGGAGGAACACCGGUGGCGAAGGCGGGUCUCUGGGCCGAUAUUGACGCUGAGGAGCGAAAGCGUGGGGAGCGAACAGG